GGGCGCAUGGUCUAGAGGUAUGAUAUUCGCUUUGCAUCUGAUUCACUCAGUAUAUGCCUGCGAAGGGUCCGGGGUUCAAUUCCCCGUGCGUCCA
rnacentral:tRNA from 1 species